UGGACAAGCAGGUCUGACAGGUUGCAUUUUUGUUCCCAUUACUAUGAUGGGCACGAGGAUUCGUUCCCAUUUUCGUCAGCUGGCAUUCGGUCCUGGAUUUAAACCGCAACUGUGGCUGCAUUGCUGUGAAAUGUAUCACUGCUUAUGACUCACGUUGCAAAGGACACAUUUGUAAACUGACCCACCAUUGACAAAAUCCUCUCUUUCUUCAUUUGUAGGAGGCAAGAUGAGGCAUAGGUUCCUUGUCUGAUUCAUUUCCUGAGGAAAUUUUUACUCCCUGCAUCUUUUUCAGUCCUCAUUCAGUCAGAGAGCAGCAAAGUGAUUAAUACAAAAUCCAUGCCUGACACAGGCUGGAAGAAAGAUGCAAAUUCCUUUAGAACCAGCGCUUAAUUAAUCGCUCAGAAAAACAGUCCACUGCCAAAAAAUGGGGGGGGAGGGGGUUAUUUUUUGGCUUUUUUCUUUUUCCCCCCUAGUUGAGAAAGCCUUUUCAGUUGGAAAGCCAAUGACAAGCAACGGCACACAGCAAAAUGCACGAAGGACAAAUCCAGCACCCUUUGAAAUCAACCCCUCGGAAGGAAGAAUUAGCAACCUGGACAGUGCUGCAGGCAACUCCAGCCCUCCUGCAUCUGCUGCUCGAUCACACUCACUCACAGCCAGCUCUGGUCCUUCCUCACCACACUGCAGAAAUCCUAGGAGAGCUGCGUAUCUAACAUCUCAGACAAACACAGACAAUGACCAGAAAAUUAAAACUGCCGGGAAUAAAAGAUAACACAAAGAGAGCCCUGGAGAAACUGCACCUCCCACGUCCCCCUGCCAUGACGGCCAGCAGCGGUGCAGCAGUGCACGCUGACUCCAGCUGUGCAGCGGGGCUGAGGAGCCCAGCACCACCCCAG
ensembl:lncRNA